rnacentral:rRNA from 1 species
GUAGGUGGCAAGCGUUGUCCGGAAUUAUUGGGCGUAAAGCGCGCGCAGGCGGUUCCUUAAGUCUGAUGUGAAAGCCCACGGCUCAACCGUGGAGGGUCAUUGGAAACUGGAGAACUUGAGUACAGAAGAGGAAAGCGGAAUUCCACGUGUAGCGGUGAAAUGCGUAGAGAUGUGGAGGAACACCAGUGGCGAAGGCGGCUUUCUGGUCUGUAACUGACGCUGAGGCGCGAAAGCGUGGGGAGCAAACAGGGAUUAGAUACCCUGGUAGUCCACGCCGUAAACGAUGAGUGCUAAGUGUUAGGGGGGGUUUCCGCCCCCUUAGUGCUGCAGCUAACGCAUUAAGCACUCCGCCUGGGGAGUACGGCCGCAAGGCUG